CCAGCACCCCCAAUUCCCCAAAUUCCCAGUUCCCAGCCCGAACCAUCCGCUCCGCUUCGCUAUGGCGCUCUCGCUCGCGCGCAGCCCCAGCCCCGGCGCGGCGCUCCCCGCCGCGCGGGUUCCCCACUUUGCCCUUCCUCUCCUCCCGCUCCGCUCCCCUCGCCACCAGUGCCAGGCGCGCCUCCGCCUCCGCCUCCGCGUCGCGGCAUCCUCGCCCCCGGCGGCGCAGGCAGCCGCCGCCCCCGUGGUGGCGGAGGAGGAGGAGGAGCAGGGGGAGAAGCGGCGGAAGCUCUACGUGGCCAACCUGCCCUGGUCCUUCCCGGCGCCGGAGAUCGAGAAACUCUUCGCGCAGCACGGCACCGUCAAGGACGUCGAGGUCAUCAAGGGGAAGGAUGGCAGGAACAGGGGGUUCGCGUUCGUGACGAUGUCGACGACGGAGGAGGCAGCUGCGGCAGCUGAGAAGCUUAACUCCCAUGAUGUAAUGGGGCGGACAAUCAAGGUGGAGUUUUCAAGAAGCUUCAGAAAACCAGCUCCGCUUCCUCCCAUUAUAGAGAGGCACAAGCUUUACGUGUCCAAUCUUCCAUGGAAAGCAAGGGCUCCCAAUGUUAAAGAGUUCUUUGCAAAGUUUAACCCGCUUUCUGCUAACGUUAUAUUCGAUAAUGGAAAAGCAGCUGGGUAUUGUUUUGUUUCCUUUGGGACAAAAGAAGAAGCAGAGGCUGCUCUCACUGAGCUUGAUGGAAAGGAACUUAUGGGAAGACCUGUACGCUUGUAUUGGCGGGAAAGUGGUGAUGAUAAGGUUGAAGUUGCAAAGGCCGACAGUGAAGUUGAAGUUGUAAAUAUUGAAGGAGCAAGCGUUGAUGAUGCCAGCACAGAUGGAGGUGAAGAUAAACAGGAAUAGUCAAACAUACUAUACUGGCCUACAGGAAGAAAGCUCCAUCCGCCUUAUUGAUAUAAACACAGAUGUGGAACUUUGUUGUACAGUUACAAGUUUUUUUCUGACACUCCCUGAUCUAGUGCCUGCCUUUUUUAUAUCUGGAUGCGGAAUAAGAGGUGGCAAUCAUAACCAACACUCAAUUAUUAUUGUCUGCCUUGGUCCUGCUAAGGUAAAGGUCAACAAAAGGCAUUAAAACUUCAGGUGAAGUAAUGUCCUUGUAGCUUGCAAUUGUAUUCAAAUUCAGUUAUGUUAUUGUGACAAUAUUGUACUUAUUUAUAUUACAUAAUGGAUGAAGUUUCUCCUGUUGACACA